rnacentral:tRNA from 1 species
GAGGGUAUAGCUCAGUGGUAGAGCGUGUGCUUAGCAUGCAUGAAGGUCCUGGGUUCAAUCCCCAGUACCUCCA